UACGAGGGCCCCAAGCAUUAUCCGGAUUUAUUGGGCGUAAAGCGUCUGUAGACGGUUUGUCGCAUCUCCUGUUAAAUCCUCUGGCUCAACCAGGGGGCUGCGGGAGAGAUGGAUAAACUAGAGACUGGGAGAGGCAAUAGGAAUUGCUGGUGUAGGGGUUAAAUCCGUUAAUAUCAGCAGGAACACUCAAUGCGAAGGCAAAUUGCUGGGACAGUUCUGACGUUCAGAGACGAAAGCGUGGGGAGCGAAUGGGAUUAGAUACCCCAGUAGUCCACGCCGUAAACGAUGGAUGCUAAAUAUUGGAAGUAUCGACCUUUCCAGUGUUGUUAAUUUAAGGUAACCCGUUAAGCAUCCCGCCUGGGGAGUACGAGCGCAAGCUUAAA
rnacentral:rRNA from 1 species